CGCAACUUGCGCCCUCUGGUAUUCCGGAGGGCAUGCCUGUUUGAGUGUCAUGUAGACUCAUCUAAUCGGGUUUCCGAUCAAGAUGGAUUUGGGGGUUUGCCUUUGUUGGCUCUCCUUAAAAGCAUUAUGCAGACGUAAUAAGUUUCGUCGUACGCAUAUUAAUCUAUAUUUGUACUCUGGCCUCAAAUCAGGUAGGGCUACCCGCUGAACUUAA
rnacentral:misc_RNA from 1 species